GGAAGUGUGGCUCAGUGGUAGAAUGCUUGCCCAAUAUGCAAAAGUCCCUGGGUUCAAUCCCCAGCAUUACAA
rnacentral:tRNA from 1 species